rnacentral:lncRNA from 1 species
AAAUGGGGGAUUUAAGAUAAGAGCCAACCUGUCAUUAUUAAUUAGAAUAUAAAAUCAAAAUUUCAACUUUGAUAACUAUAUAGAAUAUACGAUAGUAGAAAUCAUUAGAAUAUAAAAAAUAGAAUUAAUUCUAUUUUUUCUUACUUUACUAUUCCAAAUAUUAAAAAUCUCUCUGAAAAUAGAAAUACUACCAUCAGAUUUCUAUGAAAAAGACC